UACGGGGGGGGGCAAGCGUUGUUCGGAAUUACUGGGCGUAAAGGGCGCGUAGGCGGCCUACUAAGUCGGACGUGAAAUCCCUCGGCUCAACCGAGGAACUGCGUCCGAUACUGGCAGGCUGGAAUCCGGGAGAGGGAUGUGGAAUUCCAGGUGUAGCGGUGAAAUGCGUAGAUAUCUGGAGGAACACCGGCGGCGAAGGCGGCAUCCUGGCCCUGUACUGACGCUGAGGCGCGAUAGCGUGGGGAGCAAACGGG
rnacentral:rRNA from 1 species